AAGUCUGGGAUACCAUUGGAACAGAUGCUAAUACCGGAUAAAAGCUACUUUCGCAUGAAAGAAGUUUAAAAGGCGGCGUAAGCUGUCGCUAAAGGAUGGACCUGCGAUGCAUUAGCUAGUUGGUAAGGUAACGGCCUACCAAGGCGAUGAUGCAUAGCCGAGUUGAGAGACUGAUCGGCCACAUUGGGACUGAGACACGGCCCAAACUCCUACGGGAGGCAGCAGCG
rnacentral:rRNA from 1 species